rnacentral:rRNA from 1 species
GACGAACGCUGGCGGCGUGCCUAAUACAUGCAAGUCGAGCGGACGGAUGGGAGCUUGCUCCCAGACCGUCAGCGGCGGACGGGUGAGUAACACGUGGGCAACCUGCCUGUAAGACUGGGAUAACUCCGGGAAACCGGGGCUAAUACCGGAUAACUCUUUCCCUCACAUGAGGGAAAGCUGAAAGAUGGCAUCUCGCUAUCACUUGCAGAUGGGCCCGCGGCGCAUUAGCUAGUUGGUGAGGUAACGGCUCACCAAGGCGACGAUGCGUAGCCGACCUGAGAGGGUGAUCGGCCACACUGGGACUGAGACACGGCCCAGACUCCUACGGGAGGCAGCAGUAGGGAAUCUUCCGCAAUGGACGAAAGUCUGACGGAGCAACGCCGCGUGAGUGAUGAAGGUUUUCGGAUCGUAAAACUCUGUUGUCAGGGAAGAACAAGUACCGGAGCAACUGCCGGUACCUUGACGGUACCUGACCAGAAAGCCACGGCUAACUACGUG